rnacentral:rRNA from 1 species
AUUGAACGCUGGCGGCAUGCUUUACACAUGCAAGUCGAACGGCAGCACAGGGAGCUUGCUCCCGGGUGGCGAGUGGCGCACGGGGUGAGUAAUACAUCGGAACGUGUCCUGUUGUGGGGGAUAACUGCUCGAAAGGGUGGCUAAUACCGCAUGAGACCUGAGGGUGAAAGCGGGGGAUCGCAAGACCUCGCGCAAUUGGAGCGGCCGAUGCCCGAUUAGCUAGUUGGUGAGGUAAAGGCUCACCAAGGCGACGAUCGGUAGCUGGUCUGAGAGGACGACCAGCCACACUGGGACUGAGACACGGCCCAGACUCCUACGGGAGGCAGCAGUGGGGAAUUUUGGGACAAUGGGGGCAACCCUGAUCCAGCCAUGCCGCGUCGCAGGGAUGAAGGCC